UGCUCGGUGUGGCAGGUAGACGCGCCGAAUUCGGUCCUCAGGGUUCUUGAAAUCCGCUAUUCCUACUUGAAGAGGCUCAAGGUGCUCUGCCUUCCCAAACUAGAGCUGCUCAGUUGGGAGGCGUGGGUGCACUGUGAGCCCCCCUUGCAUUUUGGUUAUGUCCCGUCUCUUAAGGAGUUAAUCCUCUUAUGUGCUGCAAAGCUUGAUCACCCGGAGUUUAGUUUAAGCCUGCUUCUAGAUGGUGCCACAUAAAUCAAUACCCUGACCUUAAACUUCCAAGGAGAAAAGCUUUGGAUCCAACCGGAAAGCAGGCAACUCCGUGCCGCAUUCAGCAAGCUAAGGAAGCUGUCUAUUCAUGGCAUAUAUGUUGAGUUUGACCUGUUAUGGACAAUAAAUCUCCUUGAAGCUGCUCCAACCGUUGAGAUAUUUGAUAUUGAGGUGUAUGAACAUCCAUGUAUGGUACCAUAUUGGGUGCGCGUUGGCGUUCAAAGAGUGCAACCUUCAUGGAAGACGCCUGGGUUUACAAGCUGUAAGAAGUGGCAACUGAGAGAGCUCUAUGUUACCAACUUUAGUUCCCUCGUGGGGCAACAUGUGUUAUUUGUACGCGAGGUGAUGGAUCGAGCGCCAAACUUGAAAACUGUUAUUUUGAAGGAAGAUGAAGAAGCAUGCAAGGAUUGUGAGGCAAUGGGCGCACUGCCUACUCCGGUAGGAGGCUUGUUUCCGAGGACCAAAAAGGAGCAAGAAACAAUAGCCCAGCAACUUAGGGACAACAUGGUCAGCUCGUCCUCGGCACAGAUAAUUUUCAAAAGUAUUGUUUCAACGGUGGUAUUCUGAACUUAUGUAUGUCUGAAUGCAAG